rnacentral:rRNA from 1 species
UACGUAGGGGGCAAGCGUUGUCCGGAAUCAUUGGGCGUAAAGCGCGCGUAGGCGGCCCGGUAAGUCCGCUGUGAAAGUCAAAGGCUCAACCUUUGAAUGUCAGCGGAUACUGCCGGGCUAGAGUCCGGAAGAGGCGAGUGGAACUCCUGGUGUAGCGGUGAAAUGCGCAGAUAUCAGGAAGAACACCCGUGGCGAAGGCGGCUCUCUGGGACGGUACUGACGCUGAGACGCGAAAGCGUGGGGAGCGAACAGG